AUUGAACGCUGGCGGCAGGCCUAACACAUGCAAGUCGAACGAGUGGCGGACGGGUGAGUAAUGUCUGGGAAACUGCCUGAUGGAGGGAGAUAACUACUGGAACCGGUGGCUAAUACCGCAUACCAUCAGAUGUGCCCAGGGGGGAUUAGCUUGUUGGUGGGGUAACGGCUCCCCAAGGCGACGAUCCCUAGCUGGUCUGAGAGGAUGACCAGCCACACUGGAACUGAGACACGGCCCAGACUCCUACGGGAGGCAGCAGUGGGGAAUAUUGCACAAUGGGCGAAAGCCUGAUGCAGCAACGCCGCGUGUAUGAAGAAGGCUUUCGGGUUGUAAAGUACUUUCAGCGGGGAGGCGUUACCCGAAGAAGAAGCACCGGCUAACUCCGUGCCAGCAGCCGCGGUAAUUC
rnacentral:rRNA from 1 species